GUGAGGAAUAUUGCGCAAUGGAGGCAACUCUGACGCAGCCAUGCCGCGUGCAGGAAGAAGGCGCUACGCGCUGUAAACUGCUUUUAACCGGGAAGAAACCCCAGGACGUGUCCUGGGUUGACGGUACCGGAGGAAUAAGCACCGGCUAACUUCGUGCCAGCAGCCGCGGUAAUACGAAGGGUGCAAGCGUUAUCCGGAUUCAUUGGGUUUAAAGGGUGCGUAGGCGGAGCGUUAAGUCAGUGGUGAAAUCCUGCAGCUUAACUGUAGACUUGCCAUUGAUACUGGCGCUCUUGAGUGCGCUUGAAGUGGGCGGAAUGUGCCGUGUAGCGGUGAAAUGCUUAGGUAUGGCACAGAACACCAAUUGCGAAGGCAGCUCACUAAGGCGAUACUGACGCUGAGGCACGAAAGCGUGGGGAUCGAACAGGAUUAGAUACCCGAGUAGUCC
rnacentral:rRNA from 1 species